rnacentral:lncRNA from 1 species
GCAUUUUGAGCGUUGAGUCUUGGGGUUUUUUUCUGCCAAGAAGAACUAGAGAAGGUGGCUUUCGGGGUUGCUCUUCCGAUCGAUAAUUUCUUUAUCCAUAUCAUUAUCAUGGUCAUGUAUUCAUAGAGUGAAUCUUGAAGGACAGUUUCAAGUUUCUGUUCUUCGUCCAAUUGACGAUUGAUUUAGGUUAAUUCGUUUGGGGUUUUCCAUUUUAUGGGUGGUUAUUUCAGAAAUUCUGUUCUCUGAGUGGUAAUUAUCUCUCUUGUUUCUAUAAUUCUUUAUCUUACAAUAACGUAUUUUGUUCGAUCAUUAGGAAGAAUCUUGAGGGAUUUUUUCUAUGUGAAAAGUGAUGAUCAAUUUUGUGAAUUCUUUGUUCUUUUUUAUUUGUACGGUACCGAGAGUGGUUAUUCUAGAGAUGAAACUGAUCAACCCUUUCUAUGUCACAAAAUUAUGAAAUCCCAAAUCAGGGAUUGAUCAUUAACGGUUGUGUUUGAUAGAUGUCAUUGGAGUGAAUCAAGAUUGGGAUUUUCUGUAUGUAUAUUUGUUUUGUGAAUUCUACAUGGGAU